GGGUUUGAUCCUGGCUCAGGAUGAACGCUAGCGGCGUGCUUGACCCAUGCAAGUCGAACGGAUCCGCAACGUGUGGAGGCUCUGGAGUGCCUGGAAGAUGAGAAAUCGUUGGAAGGGGAUGAAGGGGCGGAAGCACAGCGGGGGUCAGUGGCGAACGGGUGAGUAACACGUAGGCAACCUGCCCUAGAAGUGGGGAAUAACAGCUCGAAAGGGCUGCUAAUACCGCAUGUGCUCGGGGGACCGAGGAAAGGGUCGCAAGACUCGCUUUAGGAGGGGCCUGCGGCCGAUUAGCUAGUUGGUGAGGUAACGGCUCACCAAGGCGAUGAUCGGUAGCUGGUCUGAGAGGACGAUCAGCCACACUGGAACUGGGACACGGUCCAGACUCCUACGGGAGGCAGCAGGGAGGAAUAUUGUGCAAUGGGGGAAACCCUGACACAGCGACGCCGCGUGAGUGAAGAAGGCCUUCGGGUCGUAAAGCUCUUUUCCAGGGGAUGAGGAAGGACAGUACCCUGGGAAUAAGUCUCGGCUAACUACGUGCCAGCAGCCGCGGUAAAACGUAGGAGGCGAGCGUUAUCCGGAAUCACUGGGCGUAAAGGGCAAGUAGGCGGUCGGUUAAGUCAGGCGUGACAGUUCCCGGCUCAACUGGGAAAGGUCGCCUGAGACUGGCGGACUAGAGGGCAGGAGAGGGAAGUGGAAUUCCUAGUGUAGCGGUGGAAUGCUCAGAUAUUAGGAAGAACACCAGUGGCGAAGGCGGCUUUCUGGCCUGCACCUGACGCUGAAGAGCGAAAGCUAGGGGAGCGAACGGGCUUAGAUACCCCGGUAGUCCUAGCUGUAAACUUUGGAUACUGGGUAAUGGGGGGCAACACCCUCAGUGCCGAAGCAAACGCGUUAAGUAUCCCGCCUGGGGACUACGGCCGCAAGGUUAAAACUCAAAGGAAUUGACGGGGGCCCGCACAAGCAGCGGAGCGUGUGGUUUAAUUCGAUAUAACACGAAGAACCUUACCUGGGUUUGACAUGUAUGUAGUAGGGGAGCGAAAGCCGACCGACCCUUCGGGGAGCAUACACAGGUGCUGCAUGGCUGUCGUCAGCUCGUGCCGUGAGGUGUUGGGUUAAGUCCCACAACGAGCGCAACCCCUGUUGCCAGUUAAAGAUUUCUGGCGAGACUGCUGGCGUAUAACCAGAGGAAGGUGGGGAUGACGUCAAGUCAGCAUGGCCUUUAUAUCCAGGGCUACACACACGCUACAAUGGUCGGUACAGAGGGGCGCGAAGCCGCGAGGUGGAGCAAAUCUCACAAAGCCGAUCUCAGUUCAGAUUGCAGGCUGCAACCCGCCUGCAUGAAGUCGGAGUUGCUAGUAACCGCAGGUCAGCUAUACUGC
rnacentral:rRNA from 1 species